GAUGAACGCUGGCGGCGUGCCUAAUACAUGCAAGUCGAGCGAACGGACGAGAAGCUUGCUUCCCUGAUGUUAGCGGCGGACGGGUGAGUAACACGUGGAUAACCUACCUCUAAGACUGGGAUAACUACGGGAAACCGGAGCUAAUACCGGAUAAUAUUUUGAACCGCUUGGUUCAAAAGUGAAAGACGGUCUUGCUGUCACUUAUAGAUGGAUCCGCGCUGCAUUAGCUAGUUGGUAAGGUAACGGCUUACCAAGGCAACGAUGCAUAGCCGACCUGAGAGGGUGAUCAGCCACACUGGAACUGAGACACGGUCCAGACUCCUACGGGAGGCAGCAGUAGGGAAUCUUCCGCAAUGGGCGAAAGCCUGACGGAGCAACGCCGCGUGAGUGAUGAAGGUCUUCGGAUCGUAAAACUCUGUUAUUAGGGAAGAACAUAUGUGUAAGUAACUGUGCACAUCUUGACGGUACCUAAUCAGAAAGCCACGGCUAACUACGUG
rnacentral:rRNA from 1 species